ensembl:lncRNA LINC02485 long intergenic non-protein coding RNA 2485
AGUACAAGCAACUCUUCCUGUCUUCUUAUCCAGAGUCACAAGAGGAUGGGAGAGGAGCAGUCUGCAAGCAGCCGUAGGAGCAAGACCUUGAGACGUGUCCAUCAAUGCUACACAGAGUCUCGCUCUGUUGCCAGGCUGGAAUGUAAUGGCACAAUCUCGGCUCACUUCAACCUCUGCCUCCCGAAUUCAAGCAAUUCUCCUGCCUCAGCUUCCCUGAGUAUCUGAGACUACAGAUGCCCACCACCAUGCCUGGCUAAUUUUUGUAUUUUUAGAAGAGACAGGGUUUCAU